rnacentral:rRNA from 1 species
AGUAGUUUGAUCCUGGCUCAGAACAACGCUGGCGGCAUGCCUAACACAUGCAAGUCGAACGAGAUCCUUCGGGGUCUAGUGGCGCACGGGUGCGUAACGCUGGGAAUCUGCCCUGGGUACGGAUAACUCAGAGAAAUUUGAGCUAAUACCGUAUGAUGACGUUAAGUCCAAAGAUUUAUCGCCCUGGGAUGAGCCCGCGUAGGAUUAGCUAGUUGGUGGGGUAAAGGCCUACCAAGGCGACGAUCCUUAGCUGGUCUGAGAGGAUGAUCAGCCACACUGGGACUGAGACACGGCCCAGACUCCUACGGGAGGCAGCAGUGGGGAAUAUUGGACAAUGGGCGAAAGCCUGAUCCAGCAAUGCCGCGUGAGUGACGAAGGCCUUAGGGUUGUAAAGCUCUUUACCCGGGAAGAUAAUGACUGUACCGGGAGAAUAAGCCCCGGCUAACUCCGUG